rnacentral:rRNA from 1 species
GAAAUGCGAUAAGUAAUGUGAAUUGCAGAAUUCAGUGAAUCAUCGAAUCUUUGAACGCACCUUGCGCUCCUUGGUAUUCCGAGGAGCAUGCCUGUUUGAGUGUCAUGAAAUUCUCAACCUUUCUUGCUUUUUUUAAUGAGAGCUGGUCAGGCUUGGAUUGUGGGAGUUGCUGGUUUUUAUAACAAGAAUCAGCUCUUCUUAAAUGUAUUAGCAGAAUCUUUGGCUGUGUGACCAUCUUUGGUAUGAUAAUUAUUUAUGCCAUUGAACCACAGCAGCCUUUCACUUCUAAAAGGUUUCAGGCUCCCGCUUGAAUAUUUCUUUCAAGUGUUCGAUUCAACCGUUUUGAAGCACUAGCUUUUUUGCACGGAUGGUUAACUCUGUCUGAUGGUGUUGAAUAACUUCAGGUUGACGAAGCGAGGCGUUCUUCGGAGCGCUCACGAGAGCAAGCAUCAUCAUCUUUUGAUGUGUGCACUGUCAUAUUCCUGUACCUACCCUAGCCAUUAUGUGGCUUUGAUGGGUCUGGUCAAACCAUGACCUGAACAUACUCUUUUAGUUGAGGAGGAUCUUGCUUCUAAUACUGUUCGCUUCUUAGGGGACGAACUCUUUAUUUGACAAUUUGACCUCAAAUCAGGUAGGACUACCCGCUGAACUUAA